UUCUAACUCAGUAGGUCUGGGUGGGACCUGAGAUUCUUUAUUCUAACAAACUCCUAGGUAACAGUCCUAGGCGCUAUG
rnacentral:miRNA from 1 species